rnacentral:rRNA from 1 species
UACGUAGGGGGCAAGCGUUGUCCGGAUUUAUUGGGCGUAAAGAGCGUGUAGGCGGUUAGGUAGGUCCGUUGUGAAAACUCGAGGCUCAACCUCGAGACGCCGAUGGAAACCAUCUGACUAGAGUCCGGAAGAGGAGAGUGGAAUUCCUGGUGUAGCGGUGAAAUGCGCAGAUAUCAGGAGGAACACCUGUGGCGAAAGCGGCUCACUGGACCAUAACUGACGCUGAUGCACGAAAGCUAGGGGAGCAAACAGG